rnacentral:rRNA from 1 species
GACGAACGCUGGCGGCGUGCUUAACACAUGCAAGUCGAACGGAAAGGCCCUGCUUGCAGGGUACUCGAGUGGCGAACGGGUGAGUAACACGUGGGUGAUCUGCCCUGCACUUCGGGAUAAGCCUGGGAAACUGGGUCUAAUACCGGAUAGGAGCCAUUUUUAGUGUGAUGGUUGGAAAGUUUUUUCGGUGUAGGAUGAGCUCGCGGCCUAUCAGCUUGUUGGUGGGGUAAUGGGCUACCAAGGCGGCGACGGGUAGCCGGCCUGAGAGGGUGGGCGGCCACAUUGGGACUGAGAUACGGCCCAGACUCCUACGGGAGGCAGCAGUGGGGAAUAUUGCACAAUGGGCGCAAGCCUGAUGCAGCGACGCCGCGUGGGGGAUGACGGCCUUCGGGUUGUAAACUCCUUUCGCUAGGGACGAAGCUUUUUGUGACGGUACCUAGAUAAGAAGCACCGGCUAACUACGUG